GUGAAUCAUCGAAUUUUUGAACGCACAUUGCACUCUCUGGGAAUCGUAUGCCUGUUUGAGGUUGAGUAUUAAUUAAAAUCUGAAUGUUGCUUCUUUGUGACGUGCCGGUGUUUGUGUCAUCUUUAGAUCCUUUAGGUUUUAAGUGGCUGAAAAUUGACUUUUUUUGCGCAUUAUAGAUGUACAUAAAUUCUUUUUUUAUUCGUCUGUCUUAAUGCUCAAUAUCCUAUUAGAUGCGACCAUAUCGUGUAGGUACGUGUCUAUAAAUUUUUCAUGAUUAUACGUCAAAUCAGGUAGG
rnacentral:misc_RNA from 1 species